UACGUAGGGGGCAAGCGUUGUCCGGAUUUAUUGGGCGUAAAGAGCGUGUAGGCGGUUUGGUAGGUCCGCUGUGAAAACUCGAGGCUCAACCUCGAGACGCCGGUGGAAACCAUCAGACUAGAGUCCGGAAGAGGAGAGUGGAAUUCCUGGUGUAGCGGUGAAAUGCGCAGAUAUCAGGAAGAACACCCCGUGGCUAAGGCGGCUCUCUAGUACGGUACUGACGCUGAGGAGCGAAAAGUGUGGGGGAGCGAACAGG
rnacentral:rRNA from 1 species